rnacentral:rRNA from 1 species
GACGAACGCUGGCGGCGUGCUUAACACAUGCAAGUCGAACGGUAAGGCCCUUCGGGGUACACGAGUGGCGAAAGGGACAGUAAUGUGUAGGUACCUACCUCCGGGUUCGGGAUAGCUGCGGGAAACUGCAGGUAAUACUGAAUAACGUCUCCGGACCAAAGGUGUGAUUCCACCUGGAGAGGGGCCUGCAUCCUAUUAGCUUGUUGGCGGGGUAACGGCCCACCAAGGCGACGAUGGGUAGCGGGUGUGAGAGCACGACCCGCGUCAUUAGGACGGAGACACUGCCCAGACACCUACGGGUGGCUGCAGUCGUGAAUCUUCGGCAAUGGGCGCAAGCCUGACCGAGCGACGCCGCGUGCGGGAUGAAGGCCUUCGGGUUGUAAACCGCUGUCGUAGAGGAGGAAAUGCAGGGGGGUUCUCCCCUCUGUUUGACCUAUUCUAGGAGGAAGUACGGGCUAAGUUCGUGCCAGCAGCCGCAGUAA